rnacentral:lncRNA from 12 species
CUUUGUCUAACACCUCAUAGGUGGCUAGGCUGAGGGUUACAGUAACACGAUCGUGCAGCUGUUCAAGUUCUUGGAAGUACUGAACCUGGGAAUGACUGUGCAUUUUUAUUCUUUUAUCUUUAUGAGGUGUUUGAGUUGUGUGUUGUCUUGGAGAAUUUUGCACAACAAGCUUUCACUGAGAUAUUGGUAGAAGGAUCUCGUCUGUAAUAAGAACAUUCAUUCCAGGAGAAUAGGUCUGGGCUGAUGUGGUGAUGUGGAUAGAUCCACCUGCAUACCUGCCGUCAUGUUCAGAGCAGCAGGAGAGAGACAACGGAGGGGAGGAGUCGUGUGAACAUCUACUGAAGGCUUCCUGAGAUCACAGAGGCAUGGGUUAAGACAGCAGAGUCACAAGCUGGAAGAAGAAUGGAUCUUGAACCACCACAUGGAUGAGAUCCGCUCUGGAGAUCAUGCAACCUGUAUCAGGAAUUCUAGACACCAUGGAGUUUCCCAGGAAGACACAGCCAGGAUUGCAUGGUCUUUGACCCAGGCCACACCUGCCUUCUAUCGCAUGGCCCCACUGGCACCUGGCAGGAGGCUGGGCACCAAGGAGGUGCUCAAAUACCCUGCAGAGGAUAAGUGCCUUGUUCCUUGGUAUGGUUUGAGGAGAAGUAUAUUGGGAGAUUUUGGUGGUCAAACCUGAGAUCUUUCGUGAAGAAAACAACUGAACUGUGUCAGGCGUAAAUCUUCAUGUCAUUUUUCACUCGUUACCAUAUAGAAAAGAUGGCUGUUUGGUACUUAUGCCAAACACGUUGAAAGAGUCUUGAGGACAUAAGAGAGCAAAAGUAACUGCCUGCCUCAAGGACCUGACGCUUCAGAGGAGAGAGAGGCACAGAAACAACGACAACAAGAGAAGACAGGUAUUACAGCGAGGAAUGCAGUGAGCAUGCUGGGAAGGAACAGGUACAAAGGCUGUUCAAGGGAGGAAAUGACUACAUGCACGGAGACAUAGGUGCGGAAACAGUUGUGACAGACCACAGAUGGGGCGGAGGCGUGGCAAGUGCAUAACCAUGAGGGAGCCUAAUGGUCAAAGACCCUAAACAUGGCCCCUGGAUGAAUGUUGACUGAGACUCUGUCAAGUCACUUCUCUGCUGCAAACAGUUAAGCAUUUUUAUUAAAAGUCAACUGAAGUUUAGGAUGCAAAAGAAAGACUUGCUAUCACCAAUUUUUAGGGAGAAAAACAAUUGUCCCAAACCUCGGCCUCUGGAUGAUGUUCUUCAGCUUAGCUCUUUGCCCAGAAGGCCCCCAUGAAUGAAAUUCGGUAGAGAACCUGAGCCCGGCCUCCAAACCCCAGGGAGGAACUGGUCAGACUCCCUGGCCACCGCUCUGACCAGGAUCCGACAUCGUAACACAAAGCAGGGUAGGCUCUACCCCUCAGACAAGAGAGAAAAUGUUUCUAAGUGUCUGGGUUUUAAACACAAUUCCAACACUUCAAGCUUGAGUUAGUUACAUUGAGCCUUUUAGCCGUGGCCAACUUUUUGGUCUAACAACCAAAAUUAAAAAAAAAAAAAAAAAAAAAAAGAGAGAGAGAGAGAGAGAGAAUUUGAAAAGUUUAAUAAGAGACCAAAAAGGCCAAAUAGCUUCUUGGACCUAAAGUCUGUCUUGCACACAGCACUUGAAUGAAUUAUUUUUAUAUUCAUCAA